CGGCGCCCCGCGGGCCGGCGGGAAGAUGGCGGCGGCGGCGGCGGGCGGCCCAGCUGGGAAGGGGCGCGACAUUAGCCUGGCGGCCCUGCGGCGCCACGACCCCUACAUCAGCCGCAUCGUGGACGUGGCCAGCCAGGUGGCCCUGUACACCUUCGGCCACCGGGCCAACGAGUGGGAAAAGACUGAUGUGGAAGGAACCUUAUUUGUUUACACAAGGUCUGCUUCUCCGAAACACGGCUUCACCAUCAUGAACAGGCUGAGCAUGGAGAAUAGGACAGAGCCCAUCACGAAAGACCUGGAUUUCCAGCUCCAGGACCCCUUCCUUCUCUACAGAAAUGCCAGAUUGUCCAUUUAUGGAAUUUGGUUUUACGACAAGGAAGAAUGCCAAAGAAUUGCAGAGCUUAUGAAAAACCUCGCUCAGCACGAGCAGUUGAAAGCCCACCACGGAGCGGCAGUGGGCGCGUCGCCCGUGAGCCUCAGCUCGGGAGAGGGCAAGGAGGCGGACAUCUUGCGGAUGCUCACCAAGGCCAAAGACGAAUACACAAAGUGUAAAGCCUGUCCUGAGCCCAAACAGAUCAGCAGCUCGUCCGCCAUCUACGACAACCCCAAUCUCAUCAAGCCGAUUCCAGUGAAGCCCAGUGGGAGCCGGCAGCAGCGCGGCCCUCGGCCCGGCCAGACCUUAGACCCUGAACCCCAACACCUGUCCUUGACGGCUCUCUUCGGGAAGCAGGACAAAGCUACGUGUCAGGAAGCCGCGGGGCCUCCAAAGACCCUCCACCAGCAGCAGCAAGAGAAGCUUCCGAUCCGGCAGGGGGUCGUCCGCUCCCUGUCCUACGAGGAACCCCGCAAACGCUCGCCCCCGGUCGACAAGCAGCUCUGUCCCGCCAUUCAGAAGCUCCUGGUCGGGAGCGCAGACCUGCAGCCGCUGGCAGAGCUGCCCGAGAGCUGGCCCUGCAGAGACGCCGCCCGGCCAGGGUCUCCCCGCGGCCCCGAGGUCUCCCGCCGCGCGCACGGUGCCCCCAGGACUCAGAACGCGCCGGACCAGCUCCAGAGCAUCCCCGGGGCGCCGGCACCAGCCGCCUCGGCCGCCACCCUCCCGCCGCAGACGCCGGGGCCCCGGGCACUCCCGAGGCCAGCGCCCCCCGGCCCUGGGCCCGGCCGUCGGCCCCCGGGGCCCAGCGAGGUCUCCCCGCGGGAGCUGCUGUGGAAGCUCCAGGCGGUGCAGCAGGCGCAGCAGUUGCCGGCGCCCGGCCGCCCCGCCCUGGCGGCCAAGUUCCCCGUGGCCACCCCGAGCGCCCGAGCACAGGACCCCCUGGAGUCCUGGAGGGGCCAGACCCCCAGCGCGGAGCAGCAGGUUCCCCUCCAUCAGGUCCUCUCGCCCCGGCGCGCCCCGCCCGCCGUGGGCCUAUCUCCGCUCAUGUCGCCACUGGUGUUCGCGCAGCCCCCCUGGGCCCCGCCGCCAGAGAGGGGCAGCGGGCUCUUGCCCCCGGGAAGCCAGGACCCAGCGGCCACCCCCAGCGGCCCCCUCCUGCCUCUGCGGACGCCGGAGCCCCCCAGGACGCCGGGCAGUGCCCUGACCAAGCCGCAGCUCCAGGAGGCCCUGCUGCACCUCGUCCAGAUGACCUUGAGACCUGCCAGUGAGGAGAGGCUGGAAUGGCUUCCUCGUGCCCCUAUGAAGUAAUAAGGGUGAUGACGCUUGUACAGAGCUCUGGGCCGGGCACGGUGUUAGAGACCAGGACGCCGAGGCUGAGGGCCCGGCUUGAGGUCGCCAGCCAGUAAAUAGCAGAGCCGGGGCCGCAGCCUGGCUGCCGCGCCCCUCCCCACUGCGCGACGGGCCAGGAGAUGGCAAAGCCCACCCCAAACGCGAGACAGGCCUUGCAAAGUGCAGGGCGCUCACCCAGGCGGACCGCAGCCUCCUCUGCUCACGUACCGAGAAUGACGACAACUUCUUAAAUAUAAUCUACGAAGCUUAUCUCUUCAGCAUGACACAAGCGGCCAUGAAAAAGACU